GGGGGUGACAUGGUUUCGACAGGGAACCAGUGUGGUAGAGAUGCAUGCCGGAGAUGCUGUCCACUCCGUUAACAAGCAGCAAAUGCAAAUUAACUGCAAACGAUAACUUACUCUUAGCCGCUUAAUGCGGUUACGUUCAACCUUUUCGUGCCAUCGGGAAAGGCUUGGGCGUCGUAACAGUAUGGCUGCUCAGGCGUAGAUUGCCGAUAUACGCUUGUUAAGACUUUCGGCUGGGGUUUUGCGGGUCUGAUUGUCUUUGCCGCCAUGCCCGAGAUCUAAAGACAACUAAGCAUGUAGAUUCUUUAUGGCGCUGUUCUUUGGACGCGGGUUCGAUCCCCGCCACCUCCACCA
rnacentral:tmRNA from 1 species